rnacentral:rRNA from 1 species
UACGGGGGGGGCAAGCGUUGUUCGGAAUUACUGGGCGUAAAGGGCUCGUAGGCGGCCAACUAAGUCAGACGUGAAAUCCCUCGGCUUAACCGGGGAACUGCGUCUGAUACUGGAUGGCUUGAGGUUGGGAGAGGGAUGCGGAAUUCCAGGUGUAGCGGUGAAAUGCGUAGAUAUUGGGAGGAACACCAGUGGCGAAGGCGGCUUACUGGUCCAUAACUGACGCUGAGGUGCGAAAGCGUGGGGAGCAAACAGG